rnacentral:rRNA from 1 species
AGUGAACGCUGGCGGUAGGCCUAACACAUGCAAGUCGAACGGCAGCACAGGAGAGCUUGCUCUCUGGGUGGCGAGUGGCGGACGGGUGAGGAAUACAUCGGAAUCUACCUUUUCGUGGGGGAUAACGUAGGGAAACUUACGCUAAUACCGCAUACGACCUACGGGUGAAAGUGGGGGACCGCAAGGCCUCACGCGAUUAGAUGAGCCGAUGUCCGAUUAGCUAGUUGGCGGGGUAAUGGCCCACCAAGGCGACGAUCGGUACUCGGUCUGAGGGGAUGAUCAGCCACACUGGAACUGAGACACGGUCCAGACUCCUACGGGCGGCAGCAGUGGGGAAUAUUGGACAAUGGGCGCAAGCCUGAUCCAGCCAUACCGCGUGGGUGAAGAAGGCCUUCGGGUUGUAAAGCCCUUUUGUUGGGAAAGAAAUCCUAGCGGUUAAUAACCGGUGGGGAUGACGGUACCCAAAGAAUAAGCACCGGCUAACUUCGUGCCAGCCGCCGCAGUAAGAC